rnacentral:misc_RNA from 1 species
AUUCACAAGCUUCACAACAUUUUCAUGUGUAAUCUCCCUAAGCAACAUGAUUUCACGUAUGGCAGUAGGGGAGACGCCAUCUCCAUCCUUGGACUGCUUGAAUUUCUUAAUGGCAAUUGAUUUUCCACGAUUUGCAGGAGAUUUAGUUUUUGCCAGGAACACGAGACCAUAAGUGCCUUCACCAAUCUUGCCAAUAAGGUUGUACUGUUGCAGCCAUUCUGGCUUCUCAUUGUUGGAGUUAGUUGUGAUGCCUCUAUUGUUGGUCGUGGUGUUGCCAUCUCCCAUGGUUUCUGCAUAACAGCUUUGGCAGUAGGCGCCUUACAAGAUAGUAUGCCAGACUAACAUGGAAAUUGAAAAUCAAAAGGUGCACCAGUUUGCUACAGCUGUUUGUAUUGUUGUAAACCCCUGAUGGAGACGAUAAAUUGUCCCACAAAGCAAACUUGAGCACAAUGAAAAGAUCUUAAAGUUCCAAAUGUAUUGAUAUGGUGGUGUGGGAAGACUACUCCAAAGCUAAGAACUUUGGAAUCCCAGAAUUAACGGUAAUUCCUAACUGUCCUCCUAACCAAAUUAUCAAAUAACAGAAAUCAGCACCAUUUUUCCCACAAACAAAUAGUUUGUGCUGUUAGUCAGCUCCAGCCCCAGAACAUAAAAGCAAGGUGGAGUACUAGAGCUGUGCC